UAUUAGAUAUGAGGGGAUGUGGGCAGG
rnacentral:piRNA from 1 species